CACGUAGGGGGCGAGCGUUAUCCGGAUUCAUUGGGCGUAAAGCGCGCGCAGGCGGCCGCUCAAGCGGGACCUCUAAUCCCGGGGCUCAACCCCGGGCCGGGUCCCGAACUGGGCGGCUCGCUUCGGGUAGGGGGGAGCGGAAUUCCCGGUGUAGCGGUGGAAUGCGCAGAUAUCGGGAAGAACACCGACGGCGAAGGCAGCUCCCUGGGCCCUGAAGGACGCUGAGGCGCGAAAGCCGGGGGAGC
rnacentral:rRNA from 1 species